rnacentral:tRNA from 1 species
GGUGAUGUAGCUCAGUGGCAGAGCACUUACCUAGCAUGUGCAAGGCCCUGGGUUCAGUUCCCAGCACCACCA